UUGUGUGAGGGAUAGCAGCGAUAUCCUUUUUGUUUUUUCUUUAAAAACAAAAAGAUUUAGCGGAUAGCCCGACCCCGC
rnacentral:sRNA from 1 species